UACGUAGGGUGCGAGCGUUGCCCGGAUUUAUUGGGCGUAAAGGGCGCGUAGGCGGCUCUGCACGUCCGUUGUGAAAACCCAGGGCUUAACCCUGGGCUUGCAGUGGAUACGGGCAGACUAGAGGCAGGUAGGGGAGAAUGGAAUUCCCGGUGUAGCGGUGAAAUGCGCAGAUAUCGGGAGGAACACCGGUGGCGAAGGCGGUUCUCUGGGCCUGACCUGACGCUGAGGAGCGAAAGCGUGGGGAGCGAACAGG
rnacentral:rRNA from 1 species